GACGAACGCUGGCGGCGUGCUUAACACAUGCAAGUCGAACGGAAAGUCCCUGCUUUUGUGGGGUGCUCGAGUGGCGAACGGGUGAGUAACACGUGAGUAACCUGCCCUUGACUUUGGGAUAACUUCAGGAAACUGGGGCUAAUACCGGAUAGGAGCUCCUGCUGCAUGGUGGGGGUUGGAAAGUUUCGGCGGUGGGGGAUGGACUCGCGGCUUAUCAGCUUGUUGGGGGGGUAGUGGCUUACCAAGGCUUUGACGGGUAGCCGGCCUGAGAGGGUGACCGGCGACAUUGGGACUGAGAUACGGCGCAGACUCCUACGGGAGGCAGCAGUGGGGAAUAUGGUACAAUGGGCGGAAGCCUGAUGCAGCAACGCUGCGUGCGGGAUGACGGCUUUCGGGUUGUAAACGGCUGUCGCCUGUGACGAAGCGUGAGUGACGGUAAUGGGUAAAGAAGCAACGGCUAACUACGUG
rnacentral:rRNA from 1 species